GAAUCUUUGCUCAUGCACUUAUCUGCUUUUUCUUCUGUUUACUCAGGAAUAACUGUGUUUAUCAAUAUUUGGGCUCUUCACCACAACCCCUAUUUCUGGGAAAGCCCUCAGGUCUUUAACCCCUUGAGAUUCUCCGGGGAAAAUUUUGAAAAAAUACAUCCCUAUGCCUUCAUACCAUUCUCAGCUGGAUUAAGGAACUGCAUUGGGCAGCAUUUUGCCAUAAUUGAGUGUAAAGUGGCAGUGGCAUUAACUCUGCUCCGCUUCGAGCUGGCUCCAGACCACUCAAGGCCUCCCCAGCCUGUUCGUCAAGUUGUCCUCAAGUCCAAGAAUGGAAUCCAUGUGUUUGCAAAAAAAGUUUGCUAAUUUUAAGUACUUUCAUAUAAGAAUUAAUGAGACAAUUUUCCUACGAAAGGAAGAACGAAAGGAUAAAUAUAGUACAAAAUAUAUCUAUAUGGUUGUUUGACAAAUUAUAUAACUUAGGAUACUUCUGACU
rnacentral:sRNA from 1 species